rnacentral:lncRNA from 1 species
GUCACUCCAUGGGAGUCUGAUGGCAAGUGGAUGUUGGGCAGAAGCUCAAACUGACUGUAGACCAAAGCAGAAUGUUGUUGGCAGCAGUUAAAUUUUACUGUUUCAUUAUAGCUGAUGUGUCCUUGACUGCAGCUCUAAUAAAAACAUCUUGUGAGUGUUCCGAGUACUGUUUAAAAAAGAACAUAGAUAUAAAAAAACUGGGGUCUGCAGUUCUCCAUAUGUGGUGUUUGCACUGUGCAAGGUUUUCAUCUAUUAGCCAGAUUGAGUGAUCUGGUAGCCUCCUAAAAGAACUGUGCACAUUACAUUUCUGGCACUAUUGUGGAAAAGAAUACUGUUCAAAUAUUGGAGUCCUGUUAAUCCUCCAGGAAUGGAUACAAAGGCUAAAUGUGGUCCUUCCAGAUGAGGGUUAAGGUAUGUUAGCAGUGAGCUGCAAUGGAGCUUACAUUAUGACUAUAACUGUUUUGGAUUAGACAUCCACACCCACACACCCUUUUUGUUUUAAAAUCUUGUAAAUGGCUGCAUCUUUGCUGGUGUGAAUGCCAGUAACUGCCUGAGCUUUAAAAAAAAAUGUGGCCAAGGGAAGUAGUAUUACUGCAUUAACGUCUUGAGAAACCUUUUUUAGCUAACUUUAAGGAACAAGGUGUAUGCAGUGAUUAUCAGCUGCAUUUGACAAGCAAAAUUUUCCAAAAUAAUAAGUUCCCUGUGUGAAAAUAGACUGUAGAGCAGAGAAGAAAGAUUUCUGUAUUAUCCUUACAGGAGGGAAGAUAUAUACACCUAAUUUUUGUUACACAAAGAAUUCAUAGAGGACCAGUACCUUAUUGUCCCACUUGUAUAAAAAGCUCCAAUUGGUGGUUUCAGCUUCUUGAAGACCAGUCAACCAAAUAUGGAAUAUUAGUGCCCAGGAAACCAAACUUCUUUAUUUCUGAUACUAUAGACAGAUCUUCCCCCCCCACUUCCUGAAAAGUGAGACAACUGGUAUUUGGGGGAAUGGUGUGCAGCAAAUACAUGUGAGAAGUUCACAGAACAGUAUUGGAAUUGGGAGAUACAAUAGAGUUAUGGCCUGACUCAGUAUGGUUUGUGUAAACCUAAGGUAAACCUUACCACAACUCGACUCAGCCCUCUUUUCCUACUGUCAAUGACUUUUACUCAUCUAUUUUUGUUUUAGUUUUAUUUCCUGUUAUAGACCUGAUUAAAAGCAAUUUGGAAUAAUUCCAGUACUCACUGUGGUGGGUUGAUCCCCAGUGGAUGCCAGGUGCCCACCAAAGCUGUUCUGUCACUCCCCCACCUCAGCUGGACAGGGGAAAGAAAAUACAAUGAAAUACUUGUGGGUUGAAACGAUGUCAGGAAGAGAUCACUGGCCAAGUACUGCCUUUCCUCCACCCCUCCCUUCUUCAUGGGCUUACUCCCAGUUUCUCUACCAUCUCCACCCCAGCA